rnacentral:misc_RNA from 1 species
GAUGAAGAACGUAGCGAAAUGCGAAAAGUAAUGUGAAUUGCAGAAUUCAGUGAACCAUCGAAUCUUUGAACGCACAUUGCGCCCGCUGGAACUCCGGCGGGCACGCCUGUCCGAGCGUCAUUUCAACCCUCAGGCCCCCCUUCGCGGGCGGGCCUGGUGUUGGGGCCCGGCCGCUACCCUGCGGCCGUCCCCUAAAUCCAGUGGCGGCCUCGCCGUGAUCCCUUGCGUAGUAAUGCACCUCGCACCGGAGAGCGCCGUGGCCACGCCGUAAAACCCCCAAUUUUCAAUGGUUGACCUCGGAUCAGGUGGGAAUACCCGCUGAACUUAAGCAUAUCAAUAACGGAGGA